rnacentral:rRNA from 1 species
AUUGAACGCUGGCGGCAGGCCUAACACAUGCAAGUCGAACGAGUGGCGGACGGGUGCGUAAUGUCUGGGAAACUGCCUGAUGGAGGGGGAUAACUACUGGAAACGGUAGCUAAUACCGCAUACCAUCGGAUGUGCCCAGAUGGGAUUAGCUAGUAGGUGGGGUAAAGGCUCACCUGGGCGACGAUCCCUAGCUGGUCUGAGCGGAUGACCGGCCACACUGGAACUGAGACACGGUCCAUACUCCAAAGGAAGGCAGAAGUGGGGAAUAUUGCAAAAUGGGCGCAAGCCUGAUGCAGCAAUGCCGCGUGUAUGAAGAAGGACUUCGGGUUGUAAAGUACUUUCAGCGGGGAGGCGUUACCCUCAGAAGAAGCACCGGCUAACUCCGUGCCAGCAGCCGCGGUAAUAC